rnacentral:rRNA from 1 species
AUUGAACGCUGGCGGCAGGCCUAACACAUGCCAGUCGAGCGGAUGAAGGGAGCUUGCUCCUGGAUUCAGCGGCGGACGGGUGAGUAAUGCCUAGGAAUCUGCCUGGUAGUGGGGGAUAACGUCCGGAAACGGGCGCUAAUACCGCAUACGUCCUGAGGGAGAAAGUGGGGGAUCUUCGGACCUCACGCUAUCAGAUGAGCCUAGGUCGGAUUAGCUAGUUGGUGGGGUAAAGGCCUACCAAGGCGACGAUCCGUAACUGGUCUGAGAGGAUGAUCAGUCACACGGGAAGUGAGAAACGGCACAGACUCCGACGGGAGGCAGCAGUGGGGAAUAUUGGACAAUGGGCGAAAGCGUGAUCCAGCCAUGCCGCGUGUGUGAAGAAGGUCUUCGGAUUGUAAAGCACUUUAAGUUGGGAGGAAGGGCAGUAAGUUAAUACCUUGCUGUUUUGACGGUACCAACAGAAUAAGCACCGGCUAACUUCGUG